rnacentral:rRNA from 1 species
UACGUAGGGUGCAAGCGUUAUCCGGAUUUAUUGGGCGUAAAGCGUCUGUAGGUGGAUUAGUAAGUGUUGGGUUAAAUCCUGGGGCUCAACCCCAGACCAGCUCAGCAUACUGCUAUUCUUGAGUGUAUUCGGGGAGGUUGGAAUUCUCGGUGGAGGGGUGAAAUCCGUUGAUAUCGAGAGGAACGCCAAGGGUGAAGACAGGCCUCUAGAGUACUACUGACACUGAGAGACGAAAGCUAGGGUAGCAAAC